CGAUGGUGAAGUCUUUCUACCCGCAAGCUGACUUGGCUCCUGUGGCGGAAGGUAUUGUUGAAUACUGCUCUGAUGAGCAGUUCCAACAGUACCUGCAGGAGAUGGCUCCAAUUGCCAAGGAGGUAGCCGGUUAGAUAGACCUUGAGUAAUUUGCUAAGUAAAAACAAUAUGUUAGUGUAACAUGAACAAGUCAUGAAAUGAAAUGUAAAUUAUUUGAAGUCUUG
rnacentral:lncRNA from 1 species